UCCUAGGACUGAAUCACCACCCCAGAAGAGCA
rnacentral:piRNA from 1 species